CCCUACUCCCUCUGAAGCUCAUUAUACGCCUGCACAUUUUCUUUGGGAUUAUUUUAUUGCUCCUUUAUCAACUGUAUGGUGACUGUCUUGAAAGCAAGCCUGCUAAGUGACCAGCCAUCGUUAUGCAGAGCGUGCUAGUUAAAGGCAGAAUUCGCCGGGCGUGCUUCAACAAAAGAUGCCUGCCAAGGGACCAGACCAAAAAAAAAGACAAGAAAAAAAUUCCUUGACACACAAUGCACCUUGAAUUCCUU